CAUUUCCAAAUAGACCCUAAAACCCACAAUUCCGCGGGGGCUAGUUUUUGCCUCACUUUCCCCGCAACCAAACAACUUGAUCAUCUCUUUCAGGUCAGGUUACUUUAUUUUCACAGCACCUAAAGAUUCCCUUCCUUUCUAUACACUCACACGCCAGUCGCCUCUUCGACCAUAUAAACCCCUUUCCAUUGAAAGAAAAAGCACCAUGAAACCUCCCUAAAAGAACUAACGCACCCAGAUCAAAUCCGAACCCACUAUGGAUUUCGUGGAGCUGGAGGCGAUCGAGGGACUGCGUUGGUCCUGGAACGCAUGGCCCACGACAAGAAAAGAAGUAACGUCCCUCAUAAUUCCACUUAGCAUCAUGUGCACGCCACUGAUGCAAUCUUCGGAGCUCCCAAUUCUCCCCUACGAACCCCUUACCUGUACUCGGUGCGGUGCUGUCUUAAACCCUUACGCUCGCGUGGAUUACCAGUCUCGCAUUUGGGGCUGUCCCUUCUGUUACCAGAAAAAUUCUUUUCCAAUAUCUUAUUCGGGUAUUGGCGAAGCUAAUCUUCCAGCUGAGCUUUUCCCUACUUAUAGCACCGUAGAAUACAAAAUCGAUAAGAUCGAUGUCAAAUUUGCUUCCAGUUCGCAUUUGGGUUAUAGUUGGGCAAACGGGAUGUCUUCAUCUAAUACGUCUUUGUCGUCAAUGGCAUCAUUGGGGACUCCGAGAAUGUCAGCUGGUGUAGGCGCUGGUGGGGAGUUGAAGGGGAUUGGACCUGCGUUUGUGUUUGUGGUGGAUGCUUGUACGGAGGAGGAGGAGCUGAGGGCGGUUAAAAAUGAGCUCUUGUUGGUCAUUGAGCAGUUGCCAGAAAAUGCGCUGGUGGGCUUGGUUUCGUUUGAUUCAAUGGUUAGGGUUUAUGAACUGGGAUUCUCAGAGUGCUCGAGGGUGGUGGUUUUUCAUGGUGAACGUGAAGUUUCUUCAGACCAGAUACAACAAUUUAUGGGUAUACAUUGCACCAAAUUGCUGCAACUUGGAAAAAACCCAUUUGUUCAGAAUCAGGGAUUUUUGCUGCCUAUAUCUGAAUGUGAAUUCAAUAUCACUAAAGAAAUUGAAGAAAUUUGUUCCUUAGCAGUAAUCAUGCCAGGUCAUCGCCCUCAAAGGUGCACUGGAGCAGCAAUAUCAGUUGCACUUGGACUUCUUGAAGGAUGUUCAGUGCAUACAGGCUCCCGGAUUAUGGUCUUCACUUCUGGACCUGCAACUUUGGGCCCAGGGAUGAUUGUGGACUCAGACCUUAGUAAUGCCAUCAGAACUCAUAGAGACCUCAUCAAUGGUCAUACUUCUUACCAUAGAAAAUCUUGCAGCUUCUAUAGUCGGUUGUCUCAAAGAUUAUCUGAUGCAUCUGUUGUUCUUGAUUUAUUUGCUUGUUCCCUUGAUCAAGUAGGAGCAGCAGAGCUAAAAGCUCCUGUUGAGAGGUCUGGUGGAUUCAUGAUGUUAGGAGAUUUAUUUGAGUCAGAUCAAUUCAGAAAGUGCUUGCGGCAUAUUUUUGGUCGUGAUGAAGAGGGGAGUUUGAAGAUGUAUUUUGAUGCUACUAUUGAGGUGAUCACCACAAAAGAUGUAAAAAUCUGUGGAGCACUUGGGCCUUGUGUUUCUCUUCGGAAAAAAAAUGGUUUAGUGAGCGACCGUGAGACUGGGGAGGGUGGCACUUUUGCGUGGAAGUUGGGCACACUAACUAAUAAAACAUGCAUAACUUUCUUCUUUGAAGUGGGUGAUGAACAGAAGGCACAUCCGGGGUCUGCCUUCUUUAUACAGUUUAUAACGCGUUACCGACAUGGAAACAUGGGAAUCCGGAAAAGGGUUACCACAGCUGCAAGAAGAUGGGUUGGAAACAAGUCUGCAGAAAUCACUUCCGGUUUUGAUCAGGAAGCAGCAGCUUCAGUCAUGGCCAGACUUGCAAUUCACCGGACAGAAACAUGCUAUGCUCGAGAUGUUGUCAGAUGGCUGGAUGACAACCUUAUCUGUUUUGCUUCCAAGUUUGGAGAUUAUAUCGAGGAAGAUCCAUCUACCUUCCGCUUGUCAACAAACUUCUCUCUUUACCCCCAGUUCAUGUAUUAUUUGAGGAGGUCCCAAUUUAUAGAUGUUUUCAAUAGUACUCCUGAUGAAACUGCAUUUUUCCACCUGAUGUUGAACCGUGAAGGAGUUGUGGGUUCUCUUGUCAUGAUACAACCUACACUUUUUCAGUAUUCUUUCAAUGGUCCCCCAAUUCCAGUCCUCCUAGAUGUUCAAUCCAUCUUACCUGAUGUUAUUUUACUGUUUGAUUCUUACUUCCAUGUAGUGAUUCAUUAUGGGUCCAAAAUUGUUCAGUGGAGGAAACUUGGCUAUCACAAAGAUCCAAACCAUGAGAAUUUGAGAAAGCUGUUGGAAGCUCCUGAAAUUGAUGCAGAGCAAUUGGUGGCAGAACGAGUUCCUGCGCCUAAAUUGAUAAAAUGUGACCAACACAGUAGUCAGGCUAGGUUUCUUCUUGCUAAGUUGAAUCCAUCUGUUACUCAGAACUCAACAUACACAGAAGGAUCAGAAAUCAUACUCACUGAUGAUUUGAGCUUGCAAGAUUUUAUAGAUCACCUGCAAACCCUGGCAGUGAAGGCUUAAUGAAUAGGAGAGUUGUACAGAUUUUCUCCCGUUCUAGUUCUUUUGGCUUUUCCUUCGCUUGGUCUCUGUAUAUUGCUUAAGGCGUCUGGUUGUUGUACCAAGAACAGGUGCAUACAUACAUGUUGGGUGUGAGUUUUGCUUUAUUUUCUAGCUAAAGAACAGACAAAACUCAAAUGGAUUUCGCCUUCGACAACAGGUUGGGCUCAAUUUUUUGGCGCGGAAAGAUCGACCCGUGUGUUUAUCAACUCCAAAAGGGAAUAAAAUUUCAUUCUCACUCAAUGACAGAACUCAUCGAAACAGAUCUUAUUUCCCCAAUUCAACCUUUGUCGAUGCUCUGUACCCUCAUGGAGUCCGACUUCCGCAAGGGGCAGUGGCGGCGAAGAUGAAGCGCAUUAUGUACUCAAAUGAUCAUCAUCCUGGCAAAAGAUCAAGGAAACACAUAAAGACUGCUUCCUCAUCUCUUGAUUUGAACAAUGAUAUUCUAAUGGAGAGUAUUACGAGUCUCAAGUCGUUUCAACAAAUAACUGGACCUUUUAUCUUGCAAUCAUUUAUGUAUCCACCGAUGCCAAAAUGGCAAGUGAUCUUUACCAACUACAGUAUCUAGCACCUGUUGAAUGUUUAAAUUUCUGAAUUAGUGGCGACAAUGGACACCCGAAUAUGAGUUUCCCCGCAGUAUGGGUUGACAAGUAGAAGCUGGGUUGACAAGUAGAAGCUCUCUGCCUUCAAUCACUUCUAUGGGUAAAAAUAAGCUAGAAAGAGGUCAUCUGAAAUUUGCUAUGGCAAUGAUAAUACAGGCUAUGACAAGUACUCAUCCAGGCUUCGUCAACUCUCUGCUCAGCAUUUCUACAGAAUUAUCCGUAAAGAGCUCCAAGUUUCUGGAACAAUAAAUAUCUAUAUUUAUAUCUAUAUAAAUAAAUAUAAUAAAUCUGAUCUGAAAAUAAACUUUAAUGACAAAUGGCAUUCCAUUAAA